CCCUUAGAUGUUCUGGGCCGCACACGCGCUACACUGAAGGAGGCAGCGUGUACUCCUGGAUCGAAAGAUUUGGGUAACCCGCGAAUCUCCUUCGUGCUAGGGAUUGAGGUUUGCAAUUAUCCUUCAUGAACGAGGAAUUCCCAGUAAGUGCAAGUCAUAAGCUUGCGCUGACUACGUCCCUGCCCUUUGUACACACCGCCCGUCGCUACUACCGAUUGAAUGAUUUAGUGAGGACUUCGGACUGGGACCGAUGCGGCUUUCUGGCUGCGUCGGUAUUCUGGAACGAUGUCCAAACUGUAUCAUUUAGAGGAAGUAAAAGUCGUAACA
rnacentral:rRNA from 1 species